GCGGAUAUGGCGGAAUUGGCAGACGCGCAUGGUUCAGGUCCAUGUGAACGCAAGUUCUUGCAGGUUCAACUCCUGUUAUCCGCACCA
rnacentral:tRNA from 1 species